CAGAAAUAUAUAUUUAUAACUGCAUUGAUAAAAGGUGAAUAUAUUAGCAUUUUCUUCUACUUAAAAGUUUAUGUAUUUUCUUCUGAUUUUAAAAUAAAUUAAAAACAUUUUAGUGGGCCCUUGCAAGUAUUGUGGGCCUUAGGCACAGUGCUUACUAGGCUGUGGGUACGUCUUAGUGCGUUUGGGCUACUAUAACAAAAUAUCAUAGAUAGGUGGCUUAUACAAAAUAGAAAUUUAUUUCUCACAGUUCUGGAGGCUGGGAAGUCCGAGGUCAGGGUGCCAGCAUGGUCAGGUUCUGGCGAGAGCAAUUUUCCAGGUUGCAAACUGCUUGCUGACUUCUCAGUGUCCUUCCAUGGUGGAAAGUGCAAAUAAGCUCCCUUGAGCAUUGUUAUAAGGCACUAAUCCCAUUCCUGGAGGUUCCACCUUCAUGACCCAAUUACUUCUCAAAGGCUCUGCUUUUUAGUACUAUCAGCUUGGGGGUUAAGAUUUCAACAUAUGAAAUUGGGGGAGACACAAACAUUCAGACUAUAGUAUGGUAAACUGACCUUGACUAAAGGUCUAGGGACACUGUCCAAAGCAGUACUGUCUUAAAACUGUAUUGCAUUCUUACAUUUAUCAGAAAUAAUGCAAAUCUUGCAUUCUACAAUGUACUAUAUCCAUGUUAGUAUGUACAUAUAUAUGAGUAUGUGUAUAUGUACAUAAAUUCUCCUUAAAUCUCUGAGAAGAAUUGUGCUUUAAAAAAGAACUGUUUUGUGCUGUGUCUCAUACCUUACAGUGGGAGUCUAUGUCUCCUAGUUUGACAAAGCUGAAUAUUAACUUCUUAUUAACAUGAAACAUGAUGGCAAACUGAAUCCUACAAGUAUAGGACCCAGAACAUAUCUAUGUUAUUGUCAUGUACAAGAAGAAAUAUGUAUUUGGUCUUUCUUCCUAUUCCUGGUGCAGAGCUCCUAAAACCUUUGGGACCUCCGAAGUGAUGUGUCUGGUAGUACGCGAAUGAGAUGACUGAUAGUUAGGGGCUUCUGAAUGGCCUCAGAAUGGGGUCUGGUUGCCAGGGGAACCAACCAUGUGUUUAGAGGGUUGGAACUUUCAGCCCCACUCCCAGACCUUGGGGAAGGAAGAGGGGCUGAAGGUUGAGUUGAUCACAAAUGGAUAAUAAUUUAAUCAAUCAUGCCUAAGAAUAAAGCUUCCCAUAAAAAUCCAAAGGACAAGGUUCAGAGAGCUUCUGCAUUGCUCAGUACAUGAGGAGUGGUGCGCCCAAAGGGGCCGUGGAAGCUCCGUGCCCCUUCCCCCAAACCUGUUCCUGUGCCUCCAUCUGGCUGUUUCUGAGUUAUAUUAUUUUAUAAUAGACUGACGAUAGUAAAUAAAGCCCUUUCCUGAGUUCUGUGAGCUGCUCUAGCAAAUGAUGAAGUCUGAGAAGGAAAUCAUGGGAACCUCUGCUUUGUAGCCAUGUCAGAUAGAAGAUGUGAGUAACUUUGGGACCCACUGCUUGUGACUGGUAUCUGAAGUUGGGGGAGGUCUUAUGGGACUGAGCCCUUAACCUGCUGGGGAUCUGCACUUAAUGCCGAUUAAUGCCAGAAGUGAAUUGUAUGAUAUCCAGUUGGUAUUGGAGAAUUGGCCAGUGUGGGAGAAAACCCACACAGUUGGUGGCAAGGAGUGUUCAGUGUUGAGUGUGAAUGUCAAUAAAAAAAGGUUUGUUUUUUCUACAUACAAUAACUUUGGGAACUUAGAGGUGCAGGGUCAGACGUCUGUGUGUGUAUGUGGCAGGGACAGAACAGGGAUUAGGGAUGUGAGGGGGUAGAGUUUUCAGAAUAAAGGGAGAGAAAAUUCAGCAAAGAGUUCUCCUUCUUAAUCUUUCUUGACUUAAAGUUUGUCUGCCCUUAAGUGUCUUCUGAGCUGGAAAAAGACAUAUAGGAACUGGCCGAUGCCGAUGCCUCUCUUGCAGUGUGUGAGAGGCUGAAACAGAAGUUCUACAGAAGCAGGUUAGCUGUAAGGAGCUGAGGAUUGAGGAGUCAUAUCUGGGGAAUAUUCCUGCCACCCUCAAGUCCAGGGACUUUCUGCACUCAAAAAACUUACGCUCAUGACAAUGACUGCCUCAUUCAAGAAAAUCCAAGCUGACUGGCAAGAAGCCGGCAGCCUGGGUACUUGUUGCUGCAGCUUAAUAAGUAGCAGAAGAGCUCAUCCUCCUCCUCUGGAAGAAGCCACUUAACAGGUUCUCGUCCUGACUCCUAAAUUCCUUAACAGUCCUUUACUCAGGAAUAAAACAAGUCCAAGAAAACUUAUCUGUCCCACAAAUAGUCCUGGAGGCAGUGGAGUAAGAUAGGGAGAGCAGAUUGGUGUCUGCUCUUGAGUAUCUUGAGGGAAUGGGUAUCUAGAGGCAGCAGGAUGAACUGGCUUUGAUAGCAGAGACUUUAAAAUGUGUGGACCAUUAGUUGUCUUUGGAUGUGCUCCCUAGAGGCUGUGCCUGACACAGGGAGCUGUGUAUACAUGAUUUAUUAAAAGGAAAUCCUCUUAGGAGAAACGUAUUAGCAGGAUAAACACAAGAAAGAAUUCAGUUACAAGUGGAGUCUCAAUCAAUCCCACAGGAAAUUCUAGGACUUCAGCCUCAGCUUGACCUACGGGGGGCUCUGGAAUGUCAGCUUUCUCCUGAUCCCAACUGUGCUCUGGGGCUUCCAUUGCAGCCAAGAGAGAGCAUUCCCCGGAAAACUCCAGAUGGAGACUGGAACUAUGUACAAAAUAAGCUGGUCAACAGCAAAUCGUUGGAAGAUCAACAGGCACAAAACACGAUAAAAUUGAAUCUCAAACUGAUUAAAACAUUAAACUAAAAUGCAGACUUACAUUGCUCUGCUUUCAUAAUAAAGACCACUAGAUGGCGCAACUUAAGGUGUACUACUUGUUAAAAGACAUUGUCAGAGGCCUAAUGACAGACCGACCUCCUCUUUGAAGAAAAAAAGCAAGUGAGGGAAACAAGAGAGGAAUGUUACGAAUACCUGAAGUUACACAGUCCUUCUCUCGCAAAGGCAGA